CAGUACUUCGAACCAAGGCGUUAUACUAUAGGUGGACCGCAAUGUCAAAAUUGCUGUUCGGCCAUUGCUCGUGAAAAAACAAAUUUGUUUACAAAGCAAAUCAUAUCUUUUGGUGACAAAUGCAUUCGUAGGCAAAAUAGCUGCUCGCGCUUCACUGUAGGCAGAUAUCUACAAUCAGCGGUCGAAUUAAAAACAGUGCAGAAGGAUGUUUUGAGUAUAUUUUACCUUCUAGCCGCGCAAUCAAUGCUUUUCUUUCCAAGCAAGCAGCGUUUUUCGGCAAAAGCAUGAAAUAGAAUCGUACGUGGUACGAAUUUAUCGGCACAAUCUGAUCAAGGACGGAGGCAUCAUCAAACGGAACGGAGGCAUCAUCAAAGACGGGUCUAAUAUUUUACAAUAAAGAACAAAUCUACCACUUUCCACGAAAAUCGGAGAACCACUAUAUCGGUUAGACAUGGAAUGGCUGAUACAUAUAAGGCAGAAAAAAGGUUUAACUUUGGAAUUCAACAUCCUAUAUUUCCUCGUACCAUUAAGUUCAUGGCGCAUUUGAUGUCGGUCAUCGUAACUGCUUCUAUGGAAAUGACGUGAGCAUAUGAUUUGAUUUUUGAUUUUUAUCUCCAUCUCGGAGAAAAGUGUGGUAAACAAUGUCCGGGUUAUUUUUCGUUAUGAGAACCUUGUUUCCACAUCCUUUUACUGCACAAUAAUACGGCAUCUGAAGUAAAUAAAAUAUUCACAAUAUAAUUUUGGCAUGAUAGAGAACCGCGAGAUGAACGAUUAUCUGUGGAGGAGUUGGACAACAGAUUUCUUAGACUUAUAGCACUUUUAUCACAUUCACAAGCUCAUCAAAUCCUCACUGUCCCCCAAAAAUAUUGAAUAAUAUAUAAUUUUUUUUUUCCAAAAUAUAUAUUUUAUUAAGGCACGUAGCUUGACGGGGCCGGGAGUCCAAUAUUUUAACAAUUUUUGUCUUACAACUGUGUUAGUAAUAUGUAACCGAUUACUCGCGGUUGGCUCGAGGUUAGUAUUACAUAGAUCUCAUAAUUGGGAUGUUGCAGUCUCUUGUACUAUGUAUGUGUGGCCGACACGGGAUACUUCCUAUUGGAGUAUAACUGACCAUUGAUCAGCGACGCCCCCCUAGUCUGUACCUCAUAUCAAUCGUGGUGCGUCUCUCUUGACUCGAGGAAUCCAGGGUAGAAUGGUCACUGGACGGUACAAUCUUCAGCUCGUGUAGAGUUGCCAUGAGCGGUACAACCUUUGGCUCUUGUUAAAUGAUCAGUGGCCUUCGACCUGUGUAUCUGUAAAGAGUAUGUGUAUGUUUAAUUACAUUACAUGGAGCGGUUAUAAUAUAUAAUAUAAAUACCUUAUUGCAGCUAUAGUACACUAUUUUUCACGAAUAUAUAUUUGUUUAUUUCUUCCUUCAGUUGUUUUCCUCAGCGAGUUGAUAUGAAACCAUAACCACACAACCAAACAAAAAGUAAAUAAUUCAGAAAGCUUCGUCUCGCUACUCGUCUCAGGUAUUGUCAUGAAAGU